rnacentral:rRNA from 1 species
UACGGAGGGGGCUAGCGUUGUUCGGAAUUACUGGGCGUAAAGCGUGCGCAGGCGGUUUUGUAAGUCUGUCGUGAAAGCCCCGGGCUCAACCUGGGAAUUGCGAUGGAGACUGCAAGGCUUGAAUCUGGCAGAGGGGGGUAGAAUUCCACGUGUAGCAGUGAAAUGCGUAGAGGUGUGGAGGAACACCGAUGGCGAAGGCAGCCCCCUGGGUCAA